GGGGGGGGGGGGGGGGGGGCGUGAGAGAGGGGUGUGGGGGGGGAGGGCUCUGCUUGUGUGGGGUGAGGGGGUGGGGUGGGUGUGUGUAAGACGUGAGUAACCUGCCGUUGUCUUUGGGUUGACUUCAUGGAACUGUGGUUCGUACUGGAUCGGCACUUCUGCUGCCGGGUAGGGGUUGUGUAUUUUCGUGGGUUGGGGUUGUACUCGCGGCGUAUGAGCUGGGAGGUGGGGUAGUGGUUUACCAAGGCUUUGACGGGUAGUCGGCAUGAGCGGGUGACAGGACACAUUGGGACUGAGAUACGGCCCAGACUCCGACGGGAGGCAGCAGUGGGGAAUAUUGCACAAUGGGCGGAAGCCUGAUGCAGCAACGCCGCGUGCGUGAUGACGGCCUUCGGGUAGUAAACCGCUUUCGCCUGUGACGAAGCGUGAGUGACGGUAAUGGGUAAAGAAGCACCGGCUAACUACGUG
rnacentral:rRNA from 1 species